GCCCUUUUGAUGUGUAAGGUGAAUUGUGAUUUGAAGAUCAAGUAUGGAGACGAUAUGGGGAAUUAGAUUCUGAAGACAUCUGGAAGACAAAGAAGUGGAAGGAUUGGAUUAUUUAGCUUUUACUUUUUUUUUUCUCCAGUUUGUUUUUGUCUGUAUUUGAAUUAUGUUUAAUUUUAUUCUGUGUGAUUAUUUAAGUUUUUUGUUUGCAUUAUGAAUUCUUUCUGAUGACAAAAGUUUGGGUCAAUAUUUCAGUUGUUUUGUAACAAGAGAUAUUUUUGUUUGCAUUUGUUAUUUAUUUUGUAUAUAUCCAUAUAUGAUUAUUUUUCUAAUAAAAGAAUUACGAAACAA